ACAAUGAAGAGUUUGAUCCUGGCUCAGGAUGAACGCUAGCGGCAGGCCUAACACAUGCAAGUCGAGGGGUAACGAUUCCAAGCAAUUGGAAGGCGACGACCGGCGGACGGGUGAGUAACGCGUUUGUAACCUACCUCUAACUGGAAGAUAGCCCGAAGAAAUUCGGAUUAAUACUCCAUAAUACUAUGAACUGGCAUCUUUUUAUAGUCAAAGCUUUGGCGGUUAGAGAUGGGCAUGCGUGACAUUAGCUUGUUGGUGAGGUAACGGCUCACCAAGGCCACGAUGUCUAGGGGGUCUGAGAGGAUGGUCCCCCACACUGGUACUGAGACACGGACCAGACUCCUACGGGAGGCAGCAGUGAGGA
rnacentral:rRNA from 1 species